AAGGCUUAGUUGAUUUGAGUUGAGCUGUUAAAAAAUAAUUUUUUAUCUAUGUUCAGCUGGCUUGGCCUAGGCAGAGUGAAUUUCAGGCCUGGCCCACCCAAUGAUCAGAUCUAGCUUGCUUAUAUUCUUUUUUUUCUCAAAUUCAUCCCAUUCUCAAUUUGUGUGACCCUUAAAAUGUCUAUAUAUUUGUUUGUUUAUUUAUAUUUUUGUGUUACAUUUUAUCUGCUAAACCAUUUCUGCGUUCUCACUGUCUGAUUUGUGCUCUUGGAAUUGUUUGUCAUCUGCUUCAUAAUUUGUUUCACAAGUCAUUACUGGAUUUUUGCUAUGGCUUUCGGUAUUAAGUGUUAUUCCAUAUGCAAUGGGUUUUGCUUGCUUUAUCACAGGAUAAUCAACCUGAAAAUGAACCUGAUUCCUUGUGAGAAUCUGUUGACCAUCAAGUUUUUCAUGUUGUCAGGAUAAUUAAAGUUCUGUUAGCGUGUUUUCUGUCUCCCAUCACUAGGGUUUGAUAAAGCCCAAACGACAAUUAUCUGGUGAAAGUCAAUAUUAUGAUAACCUAUGCAGCAAUAUAGGUACAUGCUAGCCUUGGGAAUAUAAUUGUCCUUUGUGCUAGAACUUAGAACCGUUGAAAAUGUUUUUUUACCAACUAUAGAUGUUAAUAGCUAUGAUGCUUUGGUCAUGAAAAAAGAAGAAGAAAGGGAGGGAGAGAGGAAGAAGAAAAAGAUAAUGAUAUUUUGAAUGAAGCUAAUAUAGGACCUCUUUUAGCUCAUCAUCCUUCUUUUUAGGGUUUGUGCUACUUACUGCUAUGUCUUUAAUGACUGAUUCUGGUGUUUUUAUCUGUUAGGAGGGGCUCGUGCAGCAACAGG
rnacentral:misc_RNA from 1 species